GUGCAAGCCUUCCAGCAUGCUGGAGUUUGGAUAAUUCAGAGCAUUCCUACAGUGCUUGCUAGAGUGUCUUGAAGUGGUUUGAGGCCUUGCCCUGUCCCAUCCUUAGAGCUUAGUCGUAGGCAUUUCAGACAGUU
ensembl:snoRNA